GGUGAAUCUCAGGCUGCCACAGUGCAGAAUGCUGUAACCGAGCCGCCAUUGGAAGACAAGGAGAGGUCUACAUCCAAACUGUUGGUUUUGGCACCUGGGAGGGCGGCACUCACCAGUGCUGCACCGAACUUGAAUAUUGGGAUGGAUCCCUUGAGCGCUUCUCCAUCCUCCAUAGUACAGGGGGAGGUGAAUGCCGCAGCUUCUUCCCAGAGUAACGCUUCACUGUCUCAGAUGGUAUAGUUUUCCGUUAUGAAUUCUUUUCUUCAAAGGAAGGUCUCUGUUUCUUCCAGACCUCCAGCCUCUGCACUGUCAUGAUUUUUGAGAGCGUGGUAAAAUUGGUAAUUGUCAUGAAUGAAUAGUAGUUUUCCUCUCAUUUUGGAAAAUACAAAUAGUGCAUUUACUUGCAACUUGGUUUUACUUUAGCCCUCUUUUAUAAAAAUGUGGUGACAAAUAGCAUGUAAAUGUUUUUCAGAUUGCAUCUUAUAUGAUUAUAACAACCAUACUUUCCUGCACUUGUUUAUUUCCCGGUGAGUGUGUGGCACACUGGCACUAGAAGUAGAGAAAUGAUAGUUAUAAAAUUUAGGUUCAACGUUAUGGACGUUUGACUGUUAAGUUAGGUCCGCACAACGAUCUCUCCGCAUGAGAGUGCUCCAGAUAGGUUAUGCUGGACAUAAUGUCUGAAACAAUCCCCAUUUUUGUUGUUUCAGAAAUUUAAAGCGAUGGCUUCAUAGGGAAGUAUGCAAUCACUAAAAGUUUUGGCCAUCUGGGAUCAUCUCAGGCUUCCAGAAUUUUAAUUAGAAUAUACUUUCUACUGGUUCUUGAGCAAUGCUGCCUAAUAUACUUGAUUUGUUUUAACUGGACUUGAUUACAGUAGGGAUGUUUAGUCAAGUGUUCCUAUGAGCUAUUACCUGCAUGUUGCUAAAAUUAUCUUCUGGGGAGAAUAUAUUUGACAUUCUGAACUCAGCUGAACAGCGAAACAUAUCCAGUUUAGGCAAGUAAGACAACACUGUAUCGAUUUUCUAGGCCAGCAAAUGAAUUAACUUAAGAUUAUUUGAUGGUAUAAAUUAAAUUUCACCAUUGAAACAGUAUACUAAUUGAUCUCGAUUUCUUCUUAUGCUACCUAGCAAGAAUGCGAAGAGCUAGCCCAGAAGGUAAGUGAGCUGACCGCAGCGAACGGCACGCUUAGAUCAGAACUCGGCCAGCUUAAGGACUGCAAAACCAUGGAAACAGAAAAUAAACAGCUGAUGGUGAAUGCCUCACCCCUCUCUGGCCAUGCCCUUGAUGGAAAAGUUAUUUUCAUAACUCAAAUUCUUCUGCUGACUGUAACCAAUGGUUUUCUGAUUAAUGCGGGGUAAAAUACUAAGUCACGAUGAUAAAAUGCAGCAGUCAGAGGGCCCUAGCGUUGUGACUACCCUGAGCAUCCAGGUCGAAGCGCCCGAGCCGCAUCCAGAUCGAAGCCCGAGACGUAAAUUUUAUCCUACCAUUAGUUUGUAACAGCCUUGGUCCAAUAUUAUUAUUCUUGUUCCUCUCUGGUUUUAGACAAGAACAAUAGAGAAUCUUAAUCCUUCUAAUGUCACAGUCCCUGUAGUAGAGCACCUGCUGCCUCAAACUUCAGAGAAGAUGUGCACGAAUGGCUGUUUGGUCGCAGGUUACUCCAAGAAGAAGUAGCUAGAAUGCCCAUGUAUUGGUGCAUACAGAUUGGCGAUUGGGAGUUUUUUGAAGGGGUAAUCGACUCAUCUGUUGAUAUGAUUGGGAGGUGGCAUGAACAAAGUAAAGCAGAAGAAAGCGAGCUUGGAUGAUGGGUGGCGGCAUCAACCUACAAUUGUUUUGUGUCGGUCAGAGCAGGGAAGGUGUUAGGCACGAACCAAUCAACUAGGGCUUCUUGCUUUGACUCUCUUGCCGAACUAGGAGAAGUUAGCUCUUGCAAUGCAAUGAUCAAGCUUUUAAGAAAUUCUUGCAUACAUGUCUUUCAGUACUAUUUUUUCAUGGUUCAUCUGUGUAUGUCAUUUUCAUGAUGUAGUGAUUUUAUAAAAUAGUUACUUAUUAGUUGUAACCAUUGUUGUCAGAUCAAGUUGGAAGCUUAAUCUUCAGCAAUGUCUCUUGUAGCUUUACUGUGAUAGUAGAGAAUAGGACAAUGUGAUAUUGUCAUCUACAUGGUGAAUGUUGCCACUAAUAUCUCUUUCGGUGUUGUCCAA
rnacentral:rRNA from 1 species